rnacentral:rRNA from 1 species
CAUGCAUGCCUAGAAGAAAAAUGUGCCUCCCUGGCCAGAAAUGGCCGGGGUUGGCAGAGGAAUCAGCGAACGGCUCCGCAUAUCUGUUGUCACCUAUCGUGGUAAGCAACGGCCUGGAUAGAGCACGGAAAAGCUGUGUGUAAUACAGCCAAAGGGGUACAAUCGUGGGCAAUGGGUCUGACAACCCAGCCCUCUAAGCGUGAUCCAGGCAACUGGGCACCACCCCGCUCCAACGCUCCUACAGUACGUUACAUUAAUUUGGCUUGGGGAUCGGGUUGAGCUCAAAAGGCUGGGCCCGCAGUGAUGCGGGCCUGCGGCGGCUAACGGCCCGUGGUGACCACUGAUUUCGGCACGGUCUCCCGUUGGUAGCUACCGGCCUUGUCCCCAUAUAACCGAAACGGAGGCCUCUGCUUGGGGACGGACGCACGAUCUGGGGGGGAGGGUCCUGCCCUGGCCUCCUGGUCGCCAUCCCAUGCAACCAGAGACUAACCACACGCACACGAUGGGCUUCAGACCUAUCAGCCACUGUUGGUGGGGUAUUGGCCCACCAAGGCUAUGACGGGUACAGAGGAUUAGGGUUUGAUCCUGGAGAGGUAGCCUGAGAAAUCGCUCCCACUUCUAAGGAAGGCAGCAGGCGCGUAACGUUCCCAAUGCUACUAAGCGUAGUGAGGACGCAAUGGGACAUAACAAUGCCUCUACAAAGUAGUGGGCAAUUGACAAUGGAGUGGGCCUAAACACCCCACUGAGAAGCGACUGGAG